rnacentral:rRNA from 1 species
GGGCUCAACCCAUGAACUGCUUUCAAAACUGNGGAUCUUGAGUGGUGUAGAGGUAGGCGGAAUUCCCGGUGUAGCGGUGGAAUGCGUAGAUAUCGGGAGGAACACCAGUGGCGAAGGCGGCCUACUGGGCACUAACUGACGCUGAGGCUCGAAAGCAUGGGUAGCAAACAGGAUUAGAUACCCUGGUAGUCCAUGCCGUAAACGAUGAUUACUAGGUGUGGGAGGAUUGACCCCUUCCGUGCCGCAGUUAACACAAUAAGUAAUCCACCUGGGGAGUACGACCGCAAGGUUGAAACUCAAAGGAAUUGACGGGGGCCCGCACAAGCAGUGGAGUAUGUGGUUUAAUUCGAAGCAACGCGAAGAACCUUACCAGGUCUUGACAUCCCGUGCAUAGUGUAGAGAUACAUGAAGUCCUUCGGGACAUCGAGACAGGUGGUGCAUGGUUGUCGUCAGCUCGUGUCGUGAGAUGUUGGGUUAAGUCCCGCAACGAGCGCAACCCUUAUCGUUAGUUACUACGCAAGAGGACUCUAGCGAGACUGCCGUUGACAAAACGGAGGAAGGUGGGGAUGACGUCAAAUCAUCAUGCCCUUUAUGACCUGGGCUACACACGUACUACAAUGGCAAUUAACAAAGAGAAGCGAAACCGCGAGGUGGAGCAAACCUCAUAAAAAUUGUCUCAGUUCAGAUUGCAGGCUGCAACUCGCCUGCAUGAAGUCGGAAUUGCUAGUAAUCGCGGAUCAGCAUGCCGCGGUGAAUACGUUCCCGGGCCUUGUACACACCGCCCGUCACACCAUGAGAGCCGGGGGGACCCGAAGUCCG